GCGCCACCGAGGUGUUUGAUUUAUCCACAUUUUUUCGCUUCGACUUGGCGGACUUUGCUUUGAUCUUUUCAGCUUUAGAUUGCUGCAGUCAACAAUGGGUUAAAGCAUUAGAGGACUUCCUCUUUGUAAGUUUAUAAAAGAAGCAGAAAAACAAAAACUAUGAACCUGAUGUGCCAACCAAGAAUCAUUCCUUCUCUGCUUCGCGUCCUGCCUGGCUUCUUUCCGCUUCUCUCGGCGUGACUCACCUACCAUCUCCCCUCCAAUCCAAUUCAAUUCACGCCAAAACCACUGCAAAAGGUAAGUGCAUGAAUCAAUAAUUAUUUUGUUUGGAAGAGAAAACCAGUGGAGGAGAUGUUCAUAGAGAUGAAUACAGCGUACCUCUUAAAGUAAUUGCAGAAGAAGGGUUGGACUGAUGACUUUCGAGUUCCGACUUCCAACUUCAGACGAUUUUCAACACUUAACUGGAGUAAUGGAGUUUCAAGUCCAAGUUAGUUCCCAAGACGGGAGGGGCAGGGGGAGGGUCGGAGGGAGGUGUUGCCGCUUGCCGGCGGUG
rnacentral:lncRNA from 1 species